GACGAACGCUGGCGGCGUGCUUAACACAUGCAAGUCGAACGGUAAGGCCCUUCGGGUACACGAGUGGCGAACGGGUGAGUAACACGUGGGUGAUCUGCCCUGCACUUCGGGAUAAGCCUGGGAAACUGGGUCUAAUACCGGAUAGGACCAUGGACUUCACGGUUUGUGGUGGAAAGCUUUUGCGGAGUGGGAUGGGCCCGCGGCCUAUCAGCUUGUUGGUGGGGUAAUGGCCUACCAAGGCGACGACGGGUAGCCGGCCUGAGAGGGUGUCCGGCCACACUGGGACUGAGAUACGGCCCAGACUCCUACGGGAGGCAGCAGUGGGGAAUAUUGCACAAUGGGCGCAAGCCUGAUGCAGCGACGCCGCGUGAGGGAUGACGGCCUCGGUUGUAACUCUUCAUAGGGACGAAGCGCAAGUGACGGUACCGUAUAGAAGAAGCACCGGCCAACUAACGUG
rnacentral:rRNA from 1 species